rnacentral:rRNA from 1 species
GUGUCAGCAGCCGCGGUAAUACGUAGGGGGCGAGCGUUACCCGGAUUUACUGGGCGUAAAGGGGGCGUAGGCGGCCGUGAAAGUCCGGUGUGAAAACUCACGGCUCAACCGUGGGACUGCGCUGGAAACUACACGGCUUGAGGACGGUAGAGGGAGACGGAACUGCUGGUGUAGGGGUGAAAUCCGUAGAUAUCAGCAGGAACGCCGGUGGAGAAGUCGGUCUCCUGGGCCGUUCCUGACGCUGAGGCCCGAAAGCUAGGGGAGCAAACCGGAUUAGAUACCCGGGUAGUCCUAGCCGUAAACGAUGCCCACUAGGUGUGGGGGAGUAAUUCCUCCGUGCUGAAGCUAACGCGAUAAGUGGGCCACCUGGGGAGUACGCCCGCAAGGGUGAAACUUAAAUGAAUUGACGGGG